rnacentral:rRNA from 1 species
GGAUCCAGACUUUGCUCCUGGCUCAGGACGAACGCUGGCGGCGUGCUUAACACAUGCAAGUCGAACGAGAAGAGAUGAGAAGCUUGCUUCUUAUUGAUUCGAGUGGCAAACGGGUGAGUAACGCGUAAGCAACCUGCCCUCUAGAUGGGGACAACAGCUGGAAACGGCUGCUAAUACCGAAUACGUUCUUUCUGUCGCAUGGCAGAGAGAAGAAAGGGAGGCUCUUCGGAGCUUUCGCUGGAGGAGGGGCUUGCGUCUGAUUAGCUAGUUGGAGGGGUAACGGCCCACCAAGGCGACGAUCAGUAGCCGGUCUGAGAGGAUGAACGGCCACAUUGGGACUGAGACACGGCCCAGACUCCUACGGGAGGCAGCAGUGGGGAAUCUUCCGCAAUGGACGAAAGUCUGACGGAGCAACGCCGCGUGAACGAUGACGGCCUUCGGGUAGUAAAGUUCUGUUAUACGGGACGAAUGGUACUACGGUCAAUACCCGUCGUAAGUGACGGUACCGUAAGAGAAAGCCACGGCUAACUACGUGCCAGCAGCCGCGGUAAUACGUAGGUGGCAAGCGUUGUCCGGAAUUAUUGGGCGUAAAGGGCGCGCAGGCGGCGUCGUAAGUCGGUCUUAAAAGUGCGGGGCUUAACCCCGUGAGGGGACCGAAACUGCGAUGCUAGAGUAUCGGAGAGGAAAGCGGAAUUCCUAGUGUAGCGGUGAAAUGCGUAGAUAUUAGGAGGAACACCAGUGGCGAAAGCGGCUUUCUGGACGACAACUGACGCUGAGGCGCGAAAGCCAGGGGAGCAAACGGGAUUAGAUACCCCGGUAGUCUUGGCCGUAAACGAUGGAUACUAGGUGUAGGAGGUAUCGACCCCUUCUGUGCCGGAGUUAACGCAAUAAGUAUCCCGCCUGGGGAGUACGGCCGCAAGGCUGCAACUCAAAGGAAUUGACGG